AGAGUUUGAUCAUGGCUCAGAACGAACGCUGGCGGCAGGCUUAACACAUGCAAGUCGAACGCGUGUAGCAAUACACGAGUGGCGCACGGGUGAGUAACGCGUGGAUAUCUGCCUUUUGGUUCGGAAUAACCCCGGGAAACUGGGGCUAAUACCGGAUGGUUCCUUCGGGAUAAAGAUUUAUCGCCAAAAGAUGAGUCCGCGUACGAUUAGCUAGUUGGUGAGGUAAUGGCUCACCAAGGCGACGAUCGUUAGCUGGUCUGAGAGGACGAUCAGCCACACUGGGACUGAGACACGGCCCAGACUCCUACGGGAGGCAGCAGUGGGGAAUAUUGGACAAUGGGGGCAACCCUGAUCCAGCCAUGCCGCGUGAGUGAUGAAGGCCUUCGGGUUGUAAAGCUCUUUUGGCGGGGACGAUGAUGACGGUACCCGCAGAAUAAGCCCCGGCUAACUUCGUGCCAGCAGCCGCGGUAAGACGAAGGGGGCUAGCGUUGUUCGGAAUUACUAGGCGUAAAGCGCGUGUAGGCGGUUGCCCAAGUCGGGUGUGAAAGCCUUGAGCUCAACUCAAGAAAUGCACUCGGUACUGGGUGACUAGAGGACCGGAGAGGAUAGUGGAAUUCCCAGUGUAGUGGUGAAAUACGUAGAGAUUGGGAAGAACACCAGUGGCGAAGGCGGCUAUCUGGACGGUUUCUGACGCUAAGACGCGAAAGCGUGGGGAGCAAACAGGAUUAGAUACCCUAGUAGUCC
rnacentral:rRNA from 1 species